UACGUAGGGGGCAAGCGUUAUCCGGAUUUACUGGGUGUAAAGGGAGCGUAGACGGCACUGCAAGUCUGGAGUGAAAGCCCGAGGCCCAACCACGGGACUGCUCUGGAAACUGCGGGGCUGGAGUGCAGGAGGGGUAAGCGGAAUUCCUAGUGUAGCGGUGAAAUGCGUAGAUAUUAGGAGGAACACCGGUGGCGAAGGCGGCUUACUGGACUGUAACUGACGUUGAGGCUCGAAGGCGUGGGGAGCAAACGGG
rnacentral:rRNA from 1 species